CACAUAAAGAUACAGUACAUGAAAAUGGCAUGAACAUUUUUAGAUCCUAAUGACGAAUGAAAAACUGUUGAGGUCAUGAACCUCUCUUUUUAAUAUGCAUAGCUCAGAUUACUCGUAGGUCAGCAUGUCUUGCUUUGGAUGUUUUGAAAUUUGAUAUAUGCCGACAUGCAGAGCUGGGGAGAAAGAGGAUGCGUUGGUUCUCAUGAGAGAGGCUUAUGCCUGGGAGCUCCACGAGAUUUCAGAAUUGCAAGCCCAGCUGGACAUGAUGAUUCUGGAACAGGAGAGGAGAGAAAAGAGCUAUAUGGAUGACCUUCAUCACUGAGGCCUGCAGAUACAAGACUGUAUCCAGAUCCGCUUUAGAUUUGAUUCACUUAUUUGAUACCGAAGGCUCAGACUGCAUCUGAAAACAACUGGAUCUGGCUGGGAUACUUAUAUCACACAGAUCUUCAAAGAAAAUGUUGCCAUGGAUACAGAGCUGCAUUCUGCAGGGGAGAGAGAAGCCAAAGUGAGAGCAGAGCUGGAAAGGUGUAAAGAGGAUAUAGGAAAAUUACUACUGAGCUGAGAGAGAAGAAGCGAGAGUUACAGGACACAGAGCGAGAUCAGGCAUUACGUGGAACCAAACCGGCACUAACAGGAAUUCAGGUAUCUGCAGUAGUUUCCCAUCAGAUGAGAUCAAGAGACUCUAGCAGCAAAACAGUGCUCUGGGCAGUGGUGGCUCAAAUGAGGAAAAAGAUGGAGAACCUGAGCCAGCAGAUGUCUAUAGCUAAGAGUCAAGUCAAAUCCAGAGCCCAGCACUGCAGAUUUUGGUAGGAGCACAGUGUUCUAAAGAAGAGUGUCUGCAGGUGGGCUGCGAGUGGAGAAAGUAGCCUUUAUCGCAGCUCUAAAGAAACAGGAAGUUAGGCUGGCUCAUUGGGAGUCUUCUGUGGAACAGCUUAGCCAGCAGUGUCACUCAAAAUACAUGGAGAAUGGGAGUUUACGACUGGAGCUGGAAAAUCACAAGAGGGCAGCAGCAGCUGAAGAAGCAAGGCUUAAGCAAAGAGGGGCAGCUG